GAUGAACGCUGGCGGCGUGCUUAACACAUGCAAGUCGAACGGAAAGGCUCCUGCUUGCCGGGGUACUCGAGUGGCGAACGGGUGAGUAACACGUGGGUGAUCUGCCCUGCACUUCGGGAUAAGCCUGGGAAACUGGGUCUAAUACCGGAUAGGACGAUGGUUUGGAUGCCAUUGUGGAAAGUUUUUCGGUGUGGGAUGAGCUCGCGGCCUAUCCGCUUGUUGGUGGGGUAAUGGCCUACCAAGGCGUCGACGGGUAGCCGGCCUGAGAGGGUGUACGGCCACAUUGGGACUGAGAUACGGCCCAGACUCCUACGGGAGGCAGCAGUGGGGAAUAUUGCACAAUGGGCGCAAGCCUGAUGCAGCGACGCCGCGUGGGGGAUGACGGCCUUCGGGUUGUAAACUCCUUUCGCUAGGGACGAAGCGCAAGUGACGGUACCUGGAGAAGAAGCACUGGCUAACUACGUG
rnacentral:rRNA from 1 species